UAAGUAUUUUAUUCAAGUAUUUUUUAUUAGAAUUAAAUAAAAUAAUAGACACCUACAUAUGUAUAUGUACACAUAUGUGUGUACAUAUAUGUACAUAUAUAUGUAGUCCUCCUAUGAGUGUGAAUUAUCUUGAGACUUUAAAAAAAAAAAACAAGGUUGAAAAUGCAGAUGUCUUCCUAAGAAAUCAAAUAAGAUACAGUUAAGAGUAUAUAAAAAGCUUUAUUUAGAAAGUUUCCAAUAAGACUAUUGAUUUUUCCCCACAUAUAAAGUAUUUUUUUUUUCAGAUUCUUCAGAAAAGUGUGGGCCUCCUCCACCUAUUAGCAAUGGGGGUACCACCUCCUUUCUACUAAAAGUGUAUGUGCCACAGUCAAGAGUCGAGUACCAAUGCCAGUCCUACUAUGAACUUCAGGGUUCUAAUUAUGUAACAUGUAGUAAUGGAGAGUGGUCGGAACCACCAAGAUGCAUACAUCCAUGUAUAAUAACUGAAAAAAACAUGAAUAAAAAUAACAUAAAGUUAAAAGGAAGAAAUGACAGAAAAUAUUAUGCAAAAACAGGGGAUACCAUUGAAUUUAUGUGUAAAUUGGGAUAUAAUGCAAAUACAUCAAUUCUAUCAUUUCAAGCAGUGUGUCGGGAAGGGAUAGUGGAAUACCCCAGAUGCGAAUAAGGCAACAUUGGUACCCUAAAUGUAUGUCCAACUUCCACUUCUUCCACUUCUCAGUCUUAUGGUCUCAAAGCUUGCAAAGAUAGCUUCUGAUAUUGUUGUAAUUUCUACUUUAUUUCAAAGA
rnacentral:sRNA from 1 species